GUGCUCACUUGGGCAGCACAUAUACUAAAACUGGAACAAUACAGAGAAAAUUAGCAUGGCCCGUGCGCAAGGAUGACACGCAAAUUUGUGAAGCAUUCUAUAUAUUA
ensembl:snRNA U6 U6 spliceosomal RNA